CUAAUUGACUGUACUCCCCUUUCAAAACAGUCCAUUUAUGUAGCACUUUUUUCAGUCUCAAAGUUCUUUCCCUUAAGUGAUCUCAUAAACCCUAACAAGUUUGUCAUAGAAAUAAUUUUCCUGCUACUUACUUAUAAAUCUUCCAGCCAUGAGAUAGCCAAUAUCCUCCCGCUCUCCCUCCCCCACCCCAUUGGCAUCUGCUACACACAAACUCUUACCCAGACACCCAUUCACCUGACUUACAUCAAGCCCAUCUAUCUUUUUUCUUCUGUGUCUCUAGCUGAACUGCCGUGAGAGACACUGACGGUGUUGAGGUUGAAGGCUACUUGUCAGGGAGAUCCUGAGAAAGUUAAAGGGCCAGGGGCUUUGAUCAACUCGGCCUUCCUGGGCCUCGGGGAGAGAGACGGACUGCCUCCGGGUGCUCAUGACCUUUCCAGCAGUAAGCCAAUCAUGUGUGACUCCUGCGUUGCCGUUGCUCGUUUGAGAACUCAGUUCCUGAGGCAGAUGGGAGCACUUUUUAAGAAGAUGGAAUUUUCUAACAACCGGAGCUAUCUCAAAAGUCAUAAGCUUCCUGCCCCUGGAAAUGUGCAAGCCGUGUCUGUCUGCAGAGCUGAAAUUCUUGUGUUCUCAGGAGGCUGGGCAAAUGCUAAGAUGGAGGUUCUGAAAUCUGAUUACUGCACCAAUCACCAUGGGAAAGAGUUAGUGAUAUAUCUACUCCCAGACCUGGAACUACACAGAAUCAAGAUCUAUUAA
rnacentral:lncRNA from 1 species